rnacentral:lncRNA from 1 species
GCAGUACUAACGACCAUAAAAUCAUAUGCUUUUUAUUUAACAUAAAAUGAAACAUUAAGAUAAAAUACACGUUUGUCCAUGUGCUGAAGAACUACUGUAUUUUACAUUCAUUUAUAAAGCAGGUAGUUUUACAUGACAAAAAGAAGUGAGAGGAACAGAAUCGCAGUUAAGACGUAAGCCACAGGGCAGGCUGUUGCUUGUCAAAGUGCUGCCUCCUAAGGGCACGCAGAUCUUCAAGUGACAGGUUAGACAGAAGCUGUUUCUAGCACUCUUCAGAUCCCUCUUAAUGCUGGUGAGAAGCUAAGGUGGAAUCAUACAGCAAAAUGAGUGAAAACCUUGACAAAACAACCUUUGCCAAAAUGCAUAGCUGCAGCAUGACAGACCAUCUUUGUCCCUGAUGCAUUGCUCCUUCGCUGGAACUGGCCCGUGCUGAUUUUCAAUGCCUGGAAGUUACCGUACUGAACUACGAUUGCUUUCUUUUUUCCACACAAACCUGUCUUACUCAAACCUGACUUUACAAACGGACUGUGAUACAAUUGCACAGGAGAUUUACGGCAACAGAAAGUGCUGUAAAUCCAGCGAAGUCGGGUGUUUGUGGGUGCAUCCUUGGUGCACCUCUAGACAUCAGAGGAAAAAAUCGUUACUGAAACCUCUGUCCCUGAGGUUCAAGGUAAUGCCUGUCCUGUCUCAGCUACCGGUAGGGUUAAAAUCCUGGGAAACACUCCACUGCACACACUGCAGCGGGAGUGUUUCACCAGGCGUAUUCAUUUCCUGGUGGUUUGCAUUCCUGGUGAUGGCCCUGGAAUUGGCCCCAAGGAUCCCAGAGGCCUGUCCUCCCAAAGGGACACUCUUGGCCCAGCUUUUCCAAUAAUGCAGCAGCUGAGAGGUCUUAACUGAAAGGUACAGGAGACCAGUUGGGUUUAAGUUUAAAUUGUUUAAAGUUUAAAUUGGUUUAAAUUGGGGAAGGGAUGGGAGAUGCAGCAGUACCAGGGGAAUAAGGAAUGUUGUUUUUUUUUUCAAAAGUGCAGCAGAUCAAAACACAUUGCUAUUAUAUAUUCUUUCUAACUCAUAUAUCUUAAAUACGAAAACAAAUACAAAAGCUGUAAUUCUGUCUCAGGUCUGUGGUGACUUUGCAAGGUAUGAUGUCACCAGAAGACUGAGAUGAAGCUGGUCUGACCAGGUACACCUAGCUAAAACAUAGCUGUGUGUACUAUGGACACACCUGCACAGCCCCCCCCAACUCCGCAUAUAUACACCCCCUAAACAGCGGGACUUUCUUAUAGUGCAACUGUUCUAGAGUGGAAGGCCCCUCUGUGUGUCCAGAGCAAGUUUUGACAAAGCACUGGGUGCCGUGGUUUGCUUUUAAAAAGGUUCCAAUAAUAACUGAAGCAGUAUAAAAAUCCCAGUUGCCUGCCUUUUCAGGUUUCAGAUUUGUACUUUUAAAACUUGACUGGUUAACACCUUUUCUUUUCCCAGAUCCAGUUUCCUUCCCUGUCAGUCCCAGCAAUACAGGACUGCUAUCAACAUCUCCAGUUUAUACACAGGAUUCCUGCAGUUGUUUGCUGGAGAAAGUGGAAGUAAAUGUAAUUUGAGAUUUAUCUAAGCCAAAAGGCAUUACGGAAAAGGGAUGAGUCAAGUGCGCUGCACUGCCUGUGCUGAUGAGCCGCUUCCCCCUUUCCCUCAGCAGGGAUCUGUACUCUUUGUCUCUGGAGCUGCAGAACUGGGCCAGCAACCACAGGACUGCAGCUCUCCUCAUCUGUCAGAAACGGUACGUAGAGAACAAGCGGUAUCUGCUGUUUAACAGAGUACCAGGAGGCCGGGAAACCGCUGCAUCACUGGCAAUACGUGGCACUGUGUAUCUGGGCCCAAUCCUGACAGCUCCAUGAGCUGCUGGUCUGCCUGACCUGCUCUCCAGCUGCCCUCUGCAUUGCUACACAAGGGCAGUGGCUCGAGGAUCCCACUCGUGAUGAGAAUCCCCUCCAUUUCUAAUAGCUGCAAAGAUGCUGCAUCCUCUACAGGGAGAUUCUCACCCAAAUUCCUACAAACUAAGAAAAUAACUACAUCUGCUUUGAUAGUGUUUCCUUGAAAUCGUUGGACUUUUGGUAUAUUGCUUGAAUUUCCCAUAAGCAUCAUAAGAUGCUCGCAUCAGAAAUCAAGCUGUUUGUUAAAAUCUCGGUGGCAGAGCAAAACUGAAUAGCUUUGAUUUUGUUUUGGUUGAGUAGCUUCUGUAGCAGUACGCCUCUUUGGCUAGAACAGUAGCAUUGCUUGGGUAAAAGAUCCACCUCAACACCUUGUCUUCUCCCCAUAGGUCAUUUGGGGUGGUUAUGGGGCAAAAUGAAUGCAAACAGGACACAGGACUGAAAACUGGUCUGUGUGCUCGAUCCAGAACUGCCAAACUCUUCCAAAACUCAGUUGCUCAGGCACUCCUGGUUCCUGCGCUACCCCGUGGCUGCUGCUGCGCAGGGCAGCAUGUCCCUCCUCUCUCCCUCUUUUCUGCUUUUCCUUUGUUUUUUAAACAUUACUACAUGCUCAAAUCCAACAGCUCAAAUACUUUUUAAUACAUUGAAAAUGUAAAAUAAAGAAUAUAUGAAGUACAUACAGUAUAUAUAUACAUAUUUCAAAUACUUAAAAUUCUUAUGUAAAAUAUGAUUUUUUCUAUAUUAUUUGUGUAAAAAUACAUUUUAAAAUGGUGUCAACUUGAUUUUUCUGUACAUACCCUCUAUUCCAAUUUAAGUCCCUUUUAAAAAGGCAAAAGAGAGACAAAGGUUUAGUAUCUUCUGCGUUUACAGGCCUGUUGUCAAAACAAGAAACGCAUGUGGUAAACAGCAUUGGAGUUCUUCUUUUUAAGAAUUCCCAUUUUUAUUGCAUUAGUGGAAAAAAAAAAUGAAUCUUGUCAGUUUUCCUGCUAGUAAAACUAUUCCUGGCCUUGCUGGGAAACUGCUGACUCCCAAUACCCUGUGCAUUUAGUUCAUAAAUCUUCCUUUGUCCAUUUUUUUUACAGAUACUAAAAUAUAUAUUACUUAAAAUAUAUUACUGUAAGCUCUUAAAAUUGAUCUUCAGUUAUAUCAAAUGUAUAGCAUUAAAAAAAGAAACCAACACUAGGUAACAACGAGAAUUCUGGCUGUCACCCUCCUACCACGCGCUCGACUGCUCUCCCCAUGCGACACGAGGGCUGCCAGGACAUCAACCACCAGACCAUGGGUCAGCCAGAGGCAGCAGUGGCCUAGAACAGCCUCCUCCUGCAUGCCCCAAUGACACAACUCAUCUGUGCUCAUUGCCAGAGAUAAUUCAGCUUGUACCUGCCUGCCUUCCCCUCCCAAAACCAUGAGAGCCACGGAGGCAAAGGCAGGCGCUGAGGGCCAGCCUUGGGGCCUUCAAACAACUGAGCCUAAGCAAAACUCCCAAGUGAGACUGAAAGGUUUCCCCAAGACUCCAAGAGCCCCCCGGUGAGGUGGUUCCAGUGAAGAAAGCCGCUGGCCUUCCAAUGGAAACACUCCAGCCCCUUCCUUUUUUCCACACUCUAGUGCUUAUGGGUGCCAGACACAGCCUGCCCCUGGAGCAGUGGUGGGCUCUGCCUCAGCCCUUCCACAGGCCACGUGCUUCUCCUGCCCUUGCUGCACUGGGCUGAAGACCAUCUACCUCCGGGGAGGGAGGAGAAUGUCUGGGCAGGGCUGGCACUCACCCUUCUGGGAUCUCCCCACCAGAGAUGCCUCAGCCCACUUCCAACCUACCACUGCACACACCAGGCCCAAAAUGGUCUCCGCACCUGAACGAGACUCAUCUAAAGUUACGACCUGAGGAUACCUCCUGGCUGUGACUUCACCAGGAACUUGCUGCCCAUCAGCUAUUCCUUACUACCAUAAACUCUGCCAAGCAGCAUGACCACCCAGCAUCUUGGUCCUUCCUUUUGAUCUAAGAGGGGACAUGAAAAUUUCACUCAAAACCCCAUCCCUGUGCUGCCAAUCUGCCUCAACACCCGAAUUCAUUUAGAGCUGCCUUCGCUGUUCCACUGCAAUAAUGUGUUUGUGUGGGGUUUGCGUUGGAAAGUUCAACUCCGUGGCUCACACUGUAUUUCUUGUUCUCACGCUGCAAGACUUGGAUGUGGCUUGAAAGGAAGAAUUUAAAUCCAAGUAUCUUUUCUUACUCUAGUUGCUUUUACUGCCACAAACAUAGUUCGACAUUAGGCUUUGAAAACAUUUUAUCUCAUAUUUUUUUGAUGAUGGCAUUUACUAUAGUGCUAUUAAUACCUGGUGGGGGGGAACUAAUAUUUUUCACUAUGUCAUGACAGUAGUUUUAUUUAUAAACUUCAUGUGAAGGCAGGUUUGUUGUCCAUCUGGACGGAACAGUAGGAAGAUCAGAUGAUGGGAGGAGUGGGGAGUGCCAGGAGGAGCUCAGCACUGAUGUGGCAGCAGCAGGGGCUGAUGCCAUGCGGGGAACACUCCCAAACUGGCUGCUGGAUUUCCCCCUUCUAAAAUACAUGCUUCAACAACCAGCACUGUAAAACAUGCAAAGACUUCAAGGUGUUAUGGCGACCUGUACUUGCAGAGACUAUUACACUGAGCCCCACUAUUUCUAUGAUUUCUUAAAUACUUAAUGCCCUCUCACAAACCCGUGGAGAUCGUUCCAUCAAGUUGCACCUAGUAGCUCGUAGCAUAUAUUAAAAUCAAAGACAUGCAGUUAAAAGAAUUUAUUUUCUUAAAAAGAAAUAGAAGUAGCCCAAGGAAAGUGCAGAUCCAUUAAAAGAUAACUAAGGCACUGAACAGUUGUAAACAUCCAAGUCAUCACACAGGAUGCCUACGCUGCCCAACAUGAGUCUGGAGCCACCAGGAUCUUCACCACACAUCCCAACUGAGGCCCACCAGAGCCAAGCUGCUGCACUUCCCACAGGGCUGCUUAGGAAGGGGCAGCUUCCCCCACUGCCAGGGCCACAGGAGCCAUCUGAACCCUCAUGCUACAGGGGACACCUGGAAAAUUUAAAGGGAGAAACAAGCCGGAACCUCAGCCAGGGUCGGUGACUGUGUUGGAGAAUGGAACAGGCCCACCAGCAGCAGCUGCUGCGGGUUGAAAAAGCCCAUGAGCACCAAGGGCAAGGCGGCAGAUUGCAGCUUACUGCUCCAGCAUCUUCUCCUCCUUCCCCUCUUAAGCAGCCUUGAAAAAUCACACUGAUAAAAGCCAAGGUAUGAGCAGAAUUGACCCAAUUACGCCAGCAAAACCUCUUUACUCUUAUUUGAGGCAAAAAUGACUUCAUCACUUUAUUUGUAACUAGCAACAGUUUUUAGAUUAGGUUAUAGUGGGAGAUCUGUCUUCAACAGGAAUGGAUGUGUCUGCCCAAGGAUUACACUGCUGUAACUUCUUUCAUGCCUAGACGAGGCACUAAUAAGAGACAGACCCUGCUCUCAGUCCUGCACUGCCCAGGGCAGGCAGCUUGAAACCAUUCAACACUGCAUCUGAGAUUUAAAGUGGCAGAAAUUCCCGUUACAGAAGAGGUGAUAGAAGCAGGCAGUGAUGGCUGCCCUCUGAAUUGGUGCCGAUGGACAUGGCCACCCAGGGAAAGAGUCAUCCCCAUUACAGCAAAACAGGGUAGAAACAGGGUAGCAAUAGGGUAACAACAGGAUAACAACAGGAGAAGGGACCCACAUUUGCUGCUCUGCCCCUUCACACGUGCACACACAAAGCAGGGGGGUGUUUCUUGGCCUACAGGCACUGCCAGCGCAUGUGCAGCAUGCACACAACAGCAAUUUUUGUGUGAUUUUCUGAGAUUUAAGUUUGGAAGUAAAAACAUGGACUUUAUUUCUAAUACUUCAAUCCUCUGUGCCACUGGAUGUCUGAGCAGUGAUGUGUAAUUAGAAAGGAGGGUUGCUGCUCCCCACUACAUAUAAGAGCAAAAUGGAGAUCAAGAUAUGCUGCAGCUCCUGCUACCUCACACCCACUAAUCCUGCUCCAGGGGGGCCACACUCUGCUGGGCAGGGAAGGAAACGCUUCUGUUAUGAUUAAAUCUGCAACUUGCUAUUCUUUAUCAUUACUAAAUAAAUCACCACCUGCUCCUUGGAAAAACACACUGCUUCACAGGGGAGUAUCUCUGGGCUCUACCAACAGCGUGAGAGAAGGGAAAGGGGAAAGCAGUAGUAUAAGUCAAAUGGGGAGAGGAAAGGCAGGCUGAGGACCCCGCUCACAAAACAGCUGUCCCAUCUAUUUUGUUAGUAUUGCUUCAUCUUAAAAAGGCCUUUGGAUUAAAAGUGAAUUCAGUGCUUUUCCAUCAAAAACAUACACAGAUCUGUUACCUGACCAAGAUGCAUACAAGUCAAACACUUAUCUCCUAAAAGAUUGAAAAAAUAUUUU